rnacentral:rRNA from 1 species
GUCUACGGCCAUGCCACCCUGAACAAGCCCAUUCCCAUCUGAUCUCAGAAGUUAAGCAGAGUUGGGCCUGGUUAGUACUUGGAUGGGAGACCACCUAGGAAGAGCAGGUGCUGUAGGCG